AUUGAACGCUGGCGGCAGGCUUAACACAUGCAAGUCGAGCGGUGAAAGGUAGCUUGCUACCUGACCUAGCGGCGGACGGGUGAGUAAUGCUUAGGAAUCUGCCUAUUAGUGGGGGACAACAUUCCGAAAGGAGUGCUAAUACCGCAUACGCCCUACGGGGGAAAGCAGGGGAUCUUCGGACCUUGCGCUAAUAGAUGAGCCUAAGUCAGAUUAGCUAGUUGGUGGGGUAAAGGCCUACCAAGGCGACGAUCUGUAGCGGGUCUGAGAGGAUGAUCCGCCACACUGGGACUGAGACACGGCCCAGACUCCUACGGGAGGCAGCAGUGGGGAAUAUUGGACAAUGGGCGAAAGCCUGAUCCAGCCAUGCCGCGUGUGUGAAGAAGGCCUUUUGGUUGUAAAGCACUUUAAGCGAGGAGGAGGCUACCGAGAUUAAUACUCUUGGAUAGUGGACGUUACUCGCAGAAUAAGCACCGGCUAACUCUGUGCCAGCCGCCGCCGUAAUAC
rnacentral:rRNA from 1 species